CGGAGUGUAGCUCAGCUUGGUAGAGCACCGUCUUCGGGAGGCGGGGGUCGAAGGUUCAAAUCCUUUCACUCCGA
rnacentral:tRNA from 1 species